CCUACGGGUGGCAGCAGUGAGGAAUAUUGGUCAAUGGACGCAAGUCUGAACCAGCCACGCCGCGUGCAGGAAGACGGCUCUAUGAGUUGUAAACUGCUUUUGUACGGGGGAAAACGCACAUUAGCGGAUUUGUCUGAACUGACUGUACGAAUAAGGAUAGGCGAACUACGUGCCAGCAGCCGCGGUAAUACGGAGGAUUCAAGCGUUAUCCGGUUUUAUUGGGUUAAAAGGGUGCGUAGGCGGUCUGAUAAGUUAGAGGUGAAAUCCCGAGGCUCAACUUCGGAAUUGCCUCUGAUACUGGUCGGCUAGAGGGUAGUUGAGGUAGGCGGAAUGCAUGGUGUAGCGGUGAAAUGCUUAGAGAUCAUACAGAACACCGAUUGCGAAGGCAGCUUACCGAGCUACUUCUGACGUUGAGGCACGAAAGCGUGGGGAGCAAACAGGAUUAGAUACCCGGGUAGUC
rnacentral:rRNA from 1 species